UACGGGGGGGGCAAGCGUUGUUCGGAAUUACUGGGCGUAAAGGGCUCGUAGGCGGCCAACUAAGUCAGACGUGAAAUCCCUCGGCUUAACCGGGGAACUGCGUCUGAUACUGGAUGGCUUGAAUCCGGGAGAGGGAUGCGGAAUUCCAGGUGUAGCGGUGAAAUGCGUAGAUAUCUGGAGGAACACCGGUGGCGAAGGCGGCAUCCUGGACCGACACUGACGCUGAGGAGCGAAAGCCAGGGGAGCAAACGGG
rnacentral:rRNA from 1 species